AUAGUAAUCGUCUCUUUCUUAAUAUCUCUCUUUUCGAUUCUAAUAUCGGCCGGUCAAAUUUUGAACUAAUAAACCCCAUUAGCUAGAUCCACAUGAACUUCCGACACCGUCCUCCCCCAGAACCUCAAUUGUCUGAUGAAUCCGUUUAUAACAUAAUCCCAAUUCACAAUUUACUCGCUGACCACCCAUCCCUCCGUUAUCCAGAAGUUCGUGCUGCUACCGCUGCUCUACGAUCUGUUGGUGACCUCCGUAGACCUCCUUUCAUCCCAUGGCAGCCACACUACGACCUCCUCGAUUGGCUUGGUGCCUUCUUCGGUUUCCAAAACCACAACGUUUCCAACCAGAGGGAACACCUUGUUCUCCACCUGGCCAACGCUCAGAUGCGCCUGCAACCACCACCCGACAACAUCGACACUCUCGACCCCUCCGUCAUACGCCGAUUUCGCCGUAAGCUUCUCAGCAACUACACUCACUGGUGCUCCUUCCUUGGCUGUAAAUCCAACAUCUGGAUCUCUGAAUCACGCCGCCAGUUUUCCGCCUCGGACCACCGUCGGGAGCUCCUUUAUGUAGCACUUUAUCUACUGAUUUGGGGUGAGUCUGCGAAUCUACGUUUCAUACCUGAGUGUAUUUGUUAUAUAUUUCAUCAUAUGGCUAUGGAGCUAAAUAGAAUUCUAGAAGAUUAUAUUGAUGAGAACACAGGUAGACCUGUUUUGCCCUCCAUAUCCGGUGAAAACGCGUUUUUGAAUAAGGUUGUUAAACCAAUUUACGAUACUGUUAAGACCGAGGUAGAAAGCAGUAAGAAUGGCACGGCACCACAUUCAAGUUGGCGGAAUUAUGAUGAUAUUAACGAAUACUUUUGGAGUAGGAGGUGUUUUGAUAAGUUGAAGUGGCCUAUAGACAUCGGGAGUAACUUUUUUGCAACAACGACCAAAGGGAAGAGGGUAGGGAAGACAGGUUUCGUGGAGCAGAGGUCGUUUUUGAACUUGUUUAGGAGCUUCGAUAAGUUGUGGAUUAUGUUGUUCCUGUUUUUACAGGCUGCCAUCAUUAUUGCUUGGAAAGAGGGAGAAGAUUAUCCAUGGCAGUCUUUAAAGGAUAACGAUAUACAGGCAAAGGUUUUGAGUGUGUUCAUCACUUGGAGUGCUUUGAGGUUUCUUCAGGCUCUUCUUGAUGCUGUGAUGCAGUAUAAAUUGGUUUCUAGAGAGACUUUGUGGCUUGGUGUGAGGAUGGUGUUAAAGAUCAUUGUUUCUGUUGUUUGGAUCAUCAUUUUUGUGGCGUUUUAUGCUACAAUUUGGAGCCAGACUGAUCGGGGUUGGUCAGGGGCAACAAGUAAGCGGAUGAUAGUGGCUGCGUUGGUGUUCAUCCUCCCCGAGCUUUUAGCACUUGCUCUUUUUGUUCUACCAUGGGUUCGUAACUUUAUUGAAAACACAAACUGGAGGGUCUUUUACCUGAUAACUUGGUGGUUUCAAAGUAGAUCUUUCGUGGGUCGAGGACUAAGGGAAGGUCUGAUAGAUAACAUCAAGUAUUCUUUAUUUUGGAUCGUGGUUCUCGCAACAAAAUUUUGUUUUAGCUACUUCUUGCAGAUAAAACCGAUGAUUCGGCCCACUAAAGAUAUCUUAGACCUCUCGGAUGUGAGAUAUGAAUGGCAUGAAUUUUUUAGUAACAGCAAUAGGUUUGCUGUUGGGCUUUUGUGGCUACCUGUUGUAUUGAUCUAUUUAAUGGAUUUACAGAUCUGGUACUCCAUUUACUCUUCUUUUGUGGGUGCUGGAGUAGGGUUGUUGAACCAUUUGGGUGAGAUUAGAAACGUGCAACAACUGAGGUUGCGAUUUCAGUUUUUCGCUAGUGCAAUGCAGUUUAAUCUCAUGCCUGAAGAGCAGUUGCUGAAUACAAGAGGGACUUUCAGGAGUAAGUUCAAAGAUGCCAUUCACAGGUUGAAGUUGAGAUAUGGUCUUGGCAGACCAUUCAAGAAACUUGAAUCAAAUGAAGUUGAGGCCCAUAAGUUUGCUUUGAUUUGGAAUGAGAUCAUUUUGACGUUUAGAGAAGAAGACAUUGUUAGUGAUCAUGAAGUCGAGCUUCUUGAAUUGCCUCAGAAUACAUGGAAUGUUAGAGUUGUCCGUUGGCCAUCUUUUCUCUUGUGUAACGAGUUACUUCUAGCUCUCAGCCAGGCAAAGGAGUUAGUUGAUGCUCCAGACAGGUGGCUAUGGUACAAGAUUGGAAAGAAUGAGUACAGGCGUUGUGCGGUUAUCGAAGCUUACGAUAGUUUCAGACACUUGUUGCUCACAAUUGUGAAGUACAACACACAAGAACACUCAAUUAUGACGACUUUCUUUCAAGAAAUCGAUAACUCAAUCAAUAUUGAAAAAUUCACCAAGACAUUUAACAUGUCCGCUCUUCCCAAGAUUCAUGCAAAGCUCAUCACUCUUGUUGAUUUGUUAAUAAAAUCGAACAAAGAUGUUAACAAAGUGAUUAUUGCACUUCAGGCACUUUAUGAGGUAUGUAUAAGGGAUUUCUUUAAAGAUAAAAGAACCGAGAACCAGUUGAAAGAGGAUGGUUUGGCUCCUCACAGGCCACUUCCGGGUGUAGGGCUUCUUUUUGAGAAUGCCGUCGAGUUGCCUGAUUCAGACAACGGGAAUUUCUAUCGACAGGUGCGACGACUGCACAUCAUUCUUACGUCACGUGACUCGAUGAACAACAUUCCUGUGAAUCUUGAGGCAAGGAGAAGGAUUGCAUUCUUCAGCAACUCCUUGUUUAUGAACAUGCCUCAUGCUCCCCAAGUUGAAAAGAUGAUGGCUUUUAGUGUCUUGACACCGUAUUACAAUGAAGACGUGGUGUACAAUAAAGAACAACUUCGAACCGAGAAUGAAGAUGGGGUUUCCACUCUUUAUUAUUUGCAAACUAUCUACGCCGAUGAAUGGGUGAACUUUUUGCAGCGAAUGCGGAGAGAAGGGAUGGUGUCAGAGGAUGAGUUGUGGACAACUAAGCUAAGAGAUCUUCGGCUUUGGGCGUCAUACAGAGGGCAGACACUUGCCCGUACAGUUAGGGGAAUGAUGUACUAUUAUCGGGCACUCAAGAUGUUGGCUUUUCUUGAUUCUGCUUCUGAGAUGGACAUUCGUGAAGGAUCACAAGCUCAUGGUGGCAAUUUGGGUGGUGGUUCGAGCUUAGAAAUGACAUCUUUAGGGAGAAAUUUAAGUAGAGCAGAUAGUACAAUGAGUUCUUUGUUCAAAGGCCACGAAUAUGGAACGGCUUUAAUGAAAUACACUUACGUAGUUGCUUGUCAGAUAUACGGGACUCAAAAGGCCAAAAAGGACCCUCAUGCUGAUGAGAUUUUGUAUUUGAUGAAAAACAAUGAAGCUCUUCGUGUGGCCUAUGUUGAUGAGUUGCCCAUAAGGAACGGAACAGAGUAUUACUCCGUUCUUGUGAAGUAUGAUCAGCAGAAGGGAGAAGAAGUUGAAGUUUAUCGAGUGAAGUUGCCUGGCCCUUUGAAGCUCGGGGAAGGAAAACCUGAGAAUCAAAACCAUGCCCUCAUUUUUACUCGGGGAGAUGCAGUUCAGACCAUUGAUAUGAAUCAAGACAAUUAUUUUGAGGAGGCCCUCAAAAUGAGGAAUUUACUUGAGGAAUACAAGAGCUAUUAUGGUAUUCGUAAGCCAAAUAUUUUGGGAGUUAGAGAAAACAUCUUUACUGGUUCUGUCUCCUCACUUGCUUGGUUCAUGUCAGCUCAAGAAACAAGCUUUGUGACCUUGGGUCAGCGUGUUUUAGCAAACCCUUUGAAGAUUCGGUUGCAUUAUGGCCAUCCGGAUGUGUUUGAUAGGUUUUGGUUCUUAACUCGUGGUGGAAUUAGUAAAGCUUCAAGAUUGAUCAACUUAAGUGAGGACAUUUUUGCUGGGUUUAAUUGCACGUUAAGAGGCGGAAAUGUCACUCAUCAUGAGUACAUACAAGUCGGGAAAGGAAGGGAUGUUGGGUUAAACCAAGUAUCUAUGUUUGAAGCAAAAGUUGCAAGUGGGAACGGUGAGCAAGUUCUUAGUAGAGAUGUGUACAGAUUGGGUCAUAGACUUGAUUUUUUCAGAAUGCUUUCGUUUUUCUACACUACCGUUGGAUUCUUUUUCAACACGAUGAUGAUUUCAUUGACCGUUUACGCGUUUUUGUGGGGCCGGUUGUAUCUAGCACUAAGUGGAGUUGAGAAUUCUGUAGAAGACAAUGCCAACACAAACAAUGCAUUGGGGACGAUUUUAAACCAGCAGUUUAUUGUCCAACUUGGCCUUUUCACCGCCUUACCCAUGAUUGUCGAAAACACUCUUGAGCAAGGAUUUCUCAUAGCCAUUUGGGAUUUCAUAACAAUGCAGCUACAACUUUCAUCGGUUUUCUAUACCUUUUCUCUGGGAACUCGUUCUCAUUACUUUGGGCGAACCAUCCUUCAUGGGGGAGCAAAAUAUCGGGCAACUGGGCGUGGUUUUGUGGUGCAACACAAGAAUUUUGCUGAGAACUACAGACUCUAUGCUCGUAGUCAUUUUACAAAAGCAAUUGAGUUGGGUCUGAUCCUCACUAUUUAUGCUGCGUAUAGCCCAGUUGCUAAAGGAACAUUUACGUACAUUGCAUUGACCAUCUCAAGUUGGUUCCUCGUGGUUUCAUGGAUCAUGGCACCUUUCGUGUUCAAUCCUUCUGGAUUUGAUUGGUUAAAAACAGUGUAUGAUUUUGAUGAUUUUAUGAAGUGGAUAUGGUUUCAAGGCGGCGUGUUUGCAAAGUCUGAACAGAGUUGGGAAAGAUGGUGGUAUGAGGAACAGGAUCAUCUGAGAAAUACUGGUUUAUGGGGAAAGUUGUUGGAAAUUAUUUUGGAUUUACGGUUUUUCUUUUUCCAAUAUGGAAUUGUCUACCAGUUGGGUAUUGCUGCUGGUAGCAAAAGCGUUGCUGUUUAUGUACUUUCUUGGAUCUAUGUGGUGGUGGCUCUUGGACUCUAUUCGGUUAUCAUAUAUGCGCGUGAUAGAUAUUCUGCUAGAGAACACAUCUACUAUCGGUUGGUUCAGUUCCUAGUUAUCAUUCUUGGCGUACUUAUAAUAAUUGCUUUGAUGGAGUUCACACAGUUCAAGUUUCUUGAUAUUUUCACAAGUCUGUUGGCAUUCGUUCCCACUGGUUGGGGUUUUCUUUUGAUUGCCCAAGUAUUCCGACCCAUUUUGGAGAAAACUUUCAUCUGGGGGACUGUUGUUUCUGUGGCCCGCACGUAUGAUAUAAUGUUUGGUGUGAUUGUCUUGACCCCAGUGGCGGUUUUGUCAUGGAUGCCGGGGUUCCAGUCAAUGCAAACCAGAAUCUUGUUCAAUGAAGCGUUUAGUAGGGGUUUGCGGAUAUUCCAGAUCAUCGUUGGAAAGAAAUCUAAAGCUGAAUUCUAAUUCGAGAUGUUUAUGCAAUGUGGAGCUUUACAUUUAUUCUGCUUUAUAUUCUUUCAGAAGAAGCCGAGUGCCCUGAGACAUUUCUAUACAUAGGUUUGAUGUUGGGAUGAAUGAAGUAGAUGAUAGCAUAUAGAAGUUGAGAUGGUUUACAGGCUUGUUUGUUUCUCAUUAGUAUGUGAAAUGUGUAGUUUUGUAUGUUAAAAUGAGAGACACAGCAGUUGCCAACCGUUAUAUUCUUUAUUUUCUUGUAAAGUGAAAUUAUGUUAUAGAAGAAUAUAGAGUAAAUUACAUUCUUCGUCACCA